rnacentral:rRNA from 1 species
GAUGAACGCUGGCGGCGUGCCUAAUACAUGCAAGUCGAACGCACAGCGAAAGGUGCUUGCAUCUUUCAAGUGAGUGGCGAACGGGUGAGUAACACGUGGAUAACCUACCUCAAGGUUGGGGAUAACAUUUGGAAACAGAUGCUAAUACCGAAUAAAACUUCGUAUCGCAUGAUACAAGGUUAAAAGGCGCUACGGCGUCACCUAGAGAUGGAUCCGCGGUGCAUUAGUUAGUUGGUGGGGUAAAGGCCUACCAAGACAAUGAUGCAUAGCCGAGUUGAGAGAUUGAUCGGCCACAUUGGGACUGAGACACGGCCCAAACUCCUACGGGAGGCUGCAGUAGGGAAUCUUCCACAAUGGGCGAAAGCCUGAUGGAGUAACGCCGCGUGUGUGAUGAAGGCUUUCGGGUCGUAAAGCACUGUUGUAUGGGAAGAACAGCUAGAGUAGGGAAUGACUUUAGUUGACGGUACCAUACCAGAAAGGGACGGCUAAAUACGUGCCAGCAGCC